rnacentral:rRNA from 1 species
GCCUACGGGGCGCAGCAGUGGGGAAUAUUGCACAAUGGGGGAAACCCUGAUGCAGCAACGCCGCGUGAAGGAAGAAGGCUUUCGGGUUGUAAACUUCUUUUAAGGGGGAAGAGCAGAAGACGGUACCCCUUGAAUAAGCCACGGCUAACUACGUGCCAGCAGCCGCGGUAAUACGUAGGUGGCAAGCGUUGUCCGGAUUUACUGGGUGUAAAGGGCGUGCAGCCGGAGAGACAAGUCAGAUGUGAAAUCCACGGGCUCAACCCGUGAACUGCAUUUGAAACUGUCUCCCUUGAGUGUCGGAGAGG